UACGUAGGCAGCGAGCGUUGUUCGGAGUUACUGGGCGUAAAGAGUGCGUAGGCGGUGUUCCAAGUCUGUUGUGAAAUCUCCCGGCUUAACUGGGAGGGUGCGGCGGAAACUGGGACGCUGGAGUAUGGGAGAGGUAAGCGGAAUUCCUGGUGUAGCGGUGAAAUGCGUAGAUAUCAGGAGGAACACCUGCGGUGUAGACGGCUUACUGGACCAUAACUGACGCUGAGGCACGAAAGCGUGGGUAGCAAACAGG
rnacentral:rRNA from 1 species